GAAAUGCGAUAAGUAGUGUGAAUUGCAGAAUUCAGUGAAUCAUCGAAUCUUUGAACGCACAUUGCGCCCCUUGGUAUUCCAUGGGGCAUGCCUGUUCGAGCGUCAUCUACACCCUCAAGCUAUGCUUGGUGUUGGGCGUCUGUCCCGCCUUUGCGCGCCGACUCGCCCCAAAUUCAUUGGCAGCAGUCCUUGCCUCCUCUCGCGCAGCACAAUUGCGUUGGUAGGAGGCGCGGCCUGCGUCCACGAAGCAACAUUACCGUCUUUGACCUCGGAUCAGGUAGGGAUACCCGCUGAACUUAA
rnacentral:misc_RNA from 1 species